CAGGUCCCAGGAGCCCUGGAUGAUGGGCUUGGAGGACCCCUGGGGCCAGGCUCACAUUCUUACCUCAGCUGUAGGGAGGACAGUUUGUCCCAUGGGACUCCUCUGGGACUGGCACGCGUACAACAUCCAGGGGAUGGGCUGGUCAGAUCCCAGCUGGCCUCUCAUUGGUUCAUCUUUGACAGACCCAGGCGUGGCCUGGAGGCUCUGACUCUCUGCUGGGUGGAGACAUCAAUGUGGAAGGAGCCAGGGCGGGUGGGAGUGGGAGGGGAAUGUGUGGGUGAAAGUGUAUGGGAUUGCGUUGUGCGUUUCUUCCCCUGGAGCUGGGAGGUCUGGACACCUAGCCAGUGUGUGUGUCCAGGAUCAGGCUAUGAGAGUUUCCUCAGUAUCCCGGGUACCCAGCACGGCGACCAGCACAGUGAAGACACCAACUAACGUUCUUUGGCAGAACUGAAUGAACGGCUGUGUGAAUGAGUUUGCAGGGCAGACUGCCUGAGAGCCUCCCCACCAGCCACCGAGCCCAUAACGCUCGCAAGCCGUUUCCUGAUGAGUGUUUUCCCGUUUUAUGGAUCUUGGUAAUUUCGGUUGGUAUCAUGACAUGGAGGAGGAAAGAGAAUGCCUUUUCUGUCCUGCUGUGUGAAUGGCAGCCUGUGAGGGCCAAAUCUGCCGCUCCAGGAAGGGCCUUUUCAUUUUCCUCACCUGUUCUGAAGCUUGGACCGGCAGCUGAGUGAGGCCGAUGCCAGGACCCGUGAGGAGGUUGACUAAACAUGGACAAAUCUUAUUAAGGUCAUUAAGGAGCUGUAUUUACUCAGGAAUGAAUGUCAAGCCUGGGCUGGGUAGAUACUCCUUUGUUUUAAAAAUGGGUUGGAGGGGGAUUCUGGGGUGGGCAAAAUGGGUGAUGAGGGUCAAAAGAUACAGACUUCCUGUUAUAAAAUAAACAAAUCCUGGGAAUGUAAUGUACAGCAUGGUGAAUGCAGUUACUAAUACUGUAUCAGAUGUCUGAAUGUUGCUAAGAGUAAAUCCUCAAAAUUCUCACAAGAAAAGAAAUUUGUAACUACGUAGAGUGGUGGAUGGUAACUCGGAUUAUUGUGGUAAUCAUUUCACAAUACAUACGAAUUUCAAAUCAUUAUGUUGUACACCUGAAACUAAUAUAUAGC
rnacentral:lncRNA from 1 species